AGAGUUUGAUCCUGGCUCAGGAUGAACGCUGGCGGCGUGCCUAACACAUGCAAGUCGAACGAAGUAGUAAUACUUAGUGGCAGACGGGUGAGUAACAUGUAGGUAUCUGCCCUUUGGCCUGGAAUAACACGAGGAAACUUGUGCUAAUACCGGAUAAGUCUUUACGGAGAAAGCUUUAUGCACCAUUGGAUGAGCCUGCACUUGAUUAGUUUGUUGGUGGGGUAAUGGCCUACCAAGACUGUGAUCAAUAGCUGAUUUGAGAGGAUGAUCAGCCACAUUGGGACUGAGACACGGCCCAAACUCCUACGGGAGGCAGCAGUGGGGAAUCUUGCACAAUGGAGGAAACUCUGAUGCAGCGAUGCCGCGUGAGUGAAGAAGGCCUUUGGGUUGUAAAGCUCUUUCGUCGGGGAAGAAAAUGACUGUACCCGAAUAAGAAGGUCCGGCUAACUUCGUGCCAGCAGCCGCGGUAAUACGAAGGGACCUAGCGUAGUUCGGAAUUACUGGGCUUAAAGAGUUCGUAGGUGGUUAAAAAAGUUGGUGGUGAAAUCCCAGAGCUUAACUCUGGAACUGCCAUCAAAACUUUUUAGCUAGAGUAUGAUAGAGGAAAGCAGAAUUUCUAGUGUAGAGGUGAAAUUCGUAGAUAUUAGAAAGAAUACCAAUUGCGAAGGCAGCUUUCUGGAUCAUUACUGACGCUGAGGAACGAAAGCAUGGGUAGCGAAGAGGAUUAGAUACCCUCGUAGUCCAUGCCGUAAACGAUGUGUGUUAGACGUUGGAAAUUUAUUUUCAGUGUCGCAGCGAAAGCAUUAAACACACCGCCUGGGGAGUACGACCGCAAGGUUAAAACUCAAAUGAAUUGACGGGGACCCGCACAAGUAGUGGAGCAUGUGGUUUAAUUCGAAGAUACGCGCAGAACCUUACCAACACUUGACAUGUUCGUCGCGACUUUAAGAGAUUAAAGUUUUCGGUUCGGCCGGACGAAACACAGGUGCUGCAUGGCUGUCGUCAGCUCGUGUCGUGAGAUGUUGGGUUAAGUCCCGCAACGAGCGCAACCCUCACUUUUAGUUGCCAUCAUUUAGUUGGGCACUCUGAAAGAACUGCCAGUGAUAAGCUGGAGGAAGGUGGGGAUGACGUCAAGUCCUCAUGGCCCUUACGUGUUGGGCUACACACGUGCUACAAUGGCAUUUACAAUAGGAAGCAAGAUGGCGACGUCAAGCAAAUCCUAAAAAAAUGCCUCAGUUCGGAUUGUACUCUGCAACUCGAGUACAUGAAGCUGGAAUUACUAGUAAUCGCGGAUCAGCGCGCCGCGGUGAAUACGUUCCCGGGUCUUGUACACACCGCCCGUCACACCAUGGGAGUUGGUUCUACCUUAAGGCAAGGUUUAAAACCCUUGACCACGGUAUAGUCAGCGACUGGGGUGAAGUCGUAACAAGGUAACC
rnacentral:rRNA from 1 species